rnacentral:rRNA from 1 species
CGGCGGACGGGUGAGUAACACGUGGAUAACCUACCUAUAAGACUGGGAUAACUUCGGGAAACCGGAGCUAAUACCGGAUAAUAUUUUGAACCGCAUGGUUCAAAAGUGAAAGACGGUCUUGCUGUCACUUAUAGAUGGAUCCGCGCUGCAUUAGCUAGUUGGUAAGGUAACGGCUUACCAAGGCAACGAUGCAUAGCCGACCUGAGAGGGUGAUCGGCCACACUGGAACUGAGACACGGUCCGG